rnacentral:rRNA from 1 species
GUGGGGAAUUUUGGACAAUGGGCGAAAGCCUGAUCCAGCCAUUCCGCGUGCAGGAUGAAGGCCCUCGGGUUGUAAACUGCUUUUGUACAGAACGAAAAAGCUCCGGCUAAUACCUGGAGUCCAUGACGGUACUGUAAGAAUAAGCACCGGCUAACUACGUGCCAGCAGCCGCGGUAAUACGUAGGGUGCAAGCGUUAAUCGGAAUUACUGGGCGUAAAGCGUGCGCAGGCGGUUUUGUAAGACAGAGGUGAAAUCCCCGGGCUCAACCUGGGAACUGCCUUUGUGACUGCAAGGCUGGAGUGCGGCAGAGGGGGAUGGAAUUCCGCGUGUAGCAGUGAAAUGCGUAGAUAUGCGGAGGAACACCGAUGGCGAAGGCAAUCCCCUGGGCCUGCACUGACGCUCAUGCACGAAAGCGUGGGGAGCAAACAGGAUUAGAAACCCUUGUAGUCC